rnacentral:tRNA from 1 species
GCGGGAGUAGCACAAUGGUAGUGCUUCAGCCUUCCAAGCUGGCCACGCGGGUUCGAUUCCCGUCUCCCGCU